AACUAUAACGGUCCUAAGGUAGCGAAAUUCCUUGUCGGGUAAGUUCCGACCCGCAUGAAAGGCGUAAUGAUUUGGGCACUGUCUCAACGAGGGGCCCGGUGAAAUUGAAAUACCUGUGAAGAUGCAGGUUACCCGCGACUGGACAGAAAGACCCCAUGGAGCUUCACUGCAGCUUGAGAUUGAAUCCCGGUGACAGAUGCACAGGAUAGGUGGGAGGCGCCGAAGCAUUGCCCUAGGGCGGUGCGGAGCCGAUGUUGGGAUACCACCCUUCUGUUGCUGAGAUUCUAACGCGAGGAGUAACGACCCUGCGGACCCUCUCAGGCAGGCGGUUUGACUGGGGCGGUCGCCUCCGAAAGAGUAACGGAGGCGCCCAAAGGUUCCCUCAGGCCGGACAGAAACCGGCCGAAGAGUGCAAAGGCAGAAGGGAGCUUGACUGCGAGACCAACAAGUCGAGCAGAGACGAAAGUCGGGCUUAGUGAUCCGGUGGUACUGGGUGGAAAGGCCAUCGCUCAACGGAUAAAAGCUACCCUGGGGAUAACAGGCUAAUCUCUCCCAAGAGUUCAUAUCGACGGGGAGGUUUGGCACCUCGAUGUCGGCUCAUCACAUCCUGGGGCUGGAGUAGGUCCCAAGGGUUGGGCUGUUCGCCCAUUAAAGUGGUACGCGAGCUGGGUUCAAAACGUCGUGAGACAGUUUGGUUCAUAUCCAUCGCGGGCGCAAGAAGUUUGAGAGGAGCUGCUCCUAGUACGAGAGGACCGGAGUGGACGCACCUCUGGUGUACCGGUUGUCACGCCAGUGGCAUCGCCGGGUAGCUAUGUGCGGAAGAGAUAACCGCUGAAAGCAUCUAAGCGGGAAACUUGCCUGAAGAUAAGUCUUCCUGGAGACUCGAUCUCCCUGAAGGGUCGUUCAAGACCAGGACGUUGAUAGGCUGGAUGUGCAAGCGUUGUGAGACGCUGAGCUGACCAGUACUAAUUGCCCGUGCAGCUUGAUCC
rnacentral:rRNA from 1 species